CAGCAGCCGCGGGAAUACGUAGGGUGCAAGCGUUAAUCGGAAUUACUGGGCGUAAAGCGUGCGUAGGUGGUGGUUUAAGUCCGUUGUGAAAGCCCUGGGCUCAACCUGGGAAUUGCAGUGGAUACUGGGUCACUAGAGUGUGGUAGAGGAUAGUGGAAUUUCCGGUGUAGCAGUGAAAUGCGUAGAGAUCGGAAGGAACAUCUGUGGCGAAGGCGACUAUCUGGGCCAACACUGACACUGAGGCACGAAAGCGUGGGGAGCAAACAGGAUUAGAUACCCCCGUAGUCCCUGUCUCUUAUAC
rnacentral:rRNA from 1 species